rnacentral:misc_RNA from 1 species
AAGACUAUAGACCUGCGGAGUACCUGCGGAAGGAUCAUUAUUGAAUAAACUUGGUUGGGCUGUUGCUGGCUCCUUGGAGCAUGUGCACGCCUAGCACCAAUUUUUACCACCUGUGCACCUUUGUGGACCUGGAUACCUCUCGAGGAAACUCGGUUGGAGGACUGCUGUGCGAAAGCCAGCUUUCCUUACAUUUCCGGUUCAUGUUUUCACAUACCCCAUACGAAUGUAACAGAAUGUCGU